rnacentral:rRNA from 1 species
NNCAUUGCAGGUACCCCGCGAAUAAGGACCGGCUAAUUCCGUGCCAGCAGCCGCGGUAAUACGGAAGGUCCGGGCGUUAUCCGGAUUUAUUGGGUUUAAAGGGAGCACAGGCCGGCUGUCAAGCGUGUUGUGAAAUGUAGGCGCUCAACGCCUGACUUGCAGCGCGAACUGACGGUCUUGAGUGCGCGCAACGUUGGCGGAAUUUGUCGUGUAGCGGUGAAAUGCUUAGAUAUGACGAAGAACUCCGAUUGCGAAGGCAGCUGACGGGAGCGUUACUGACGCUUAAGCUCGAAAGCGCGGGUAUCGAACAGGAUUAGAUACCCUGGUAGUCCGCGCGGUAAACGAUGGAUGCCCGCUGUUUGCGUCUAACGUAAGCGGCCAAGUGAAAACGUUAAGCAUCCCACCUGGGGAGUACGCCGGCAACGGUGAAACUCAAAGGAAUUGACGGGGGCCCGCACAAGCGGAGGAACAUGUGGUUUAAUUCGAUGAUACGCGAGGAACCUUACCCGGGCUUGAAUUGCUGAGGAAAGAUCCAGAGAUGGUGAUGCCCUUCGGGGCCUCAGUGAAGGUGCUGCAUGGUUGUCGUCAGCUCGUGCCGUGAGGUGUCGGCUUAAGUGCCAUAACGAGCGCAACCCCUCUCUUCAGUUGCCAUCAGGCUAUGCUGGGCACUCUGGAGACACUGCCACCGCAAGGUGUGAGGAAGGUGGGGAUGACGUCAAAUCAGCACGGCCCUUACGUCCGGGGCUACACACGUGUUACAAUGGGGGGCACAGAGAGCGGGGUGCGCGCAAGCUUGCCCAAAUCCUUAAAUCCCCCCACAGUUCGGACUGGGGUCUGCAACCCGACCCCACGAAGCUGGAUUCGCUAGUAAUCGCGCAUCAGCCAUGGCGCGGUGAAUACGUUCCCGGGCCUUGUACACACCGCCCGUCAAGCCAUGAAAGCCGGGGGUGCCUGAAGUCCGUGACCGCAAGGGACGGCCUAGGGCAAAACUGGUAAUUGGGGCUAAGUCGUAACAAGGUAGCCGUACCGGAAGGUGCGGCUGGAACACCUCCUUU